GACGAACGCUGGCGGCGCGCCUAACACAUGCAAGUCGAACGGAGUUUCCCCUUCGGGGGGAGCUUAGUGGCGGACGGGUGAGUAACACGUGAGGAACCUGCCUUUGAGAGCGGGAUACCGUCUGGAAACGGACGUUAAUACCGCAUAAUGCAGCGAGGCCACAUGGCCAUGCUGCCAAAGAUUUAUCGCUCAAAGAUGGCCUCGCGCCUGAUUAGAUAGUUGGCGGGGUAACGGCCCACCAAGUCUGCGAUCAGUAGCCGGACUGAGAGGUCGAACGGCCACAUUGGGACUGAGAUACGGCCCAGACUCCUACGGGAGGCAGCAGUGGGGGAUAUUGCACAAUGGGCGAAAGCCUGAUGCAGCGACGCCGCGUGAGGGAAGACGGUUUUCGGAUUGUAAACCUCUGUCUUCGGGGACGAAACAAGACGGUACCCGAGGAGGAAGCCACGGCUAACUACGUGCCAGCAGCCGCGGUAAU
rnacentral:rRNA from 1 species